rnacentral:lncRNA from 1 species
UGUUACUGCCAGCAUGGCCUGAGAGCAUCCUGAGGUGAGAGAAGCUUGAAACAAGGACACCUGUGUACUAUGCAGUAGCCCACAAAUGGUUUCUUUAAGAUAUGCCCCCUUCCUAUUUCUGGAGACUGGCAAUAUGUUGGAAGUGGGUAGGAAUAAGACAACUCAGCGGUUGAGGAUUUUGAAAAUGAGUAUGUUAGAUGUUAUGGAUUAUCACUUUUACACCCAUAAUUCUCAGCAUCUUAAACUUAGCAUGUCACCAUUCAGACUGAACUGAAUUGAAUUCUAUUUAUUUCUGUAGACAGAGGCAUCUCCUUU